ACGGAACCUUCGGGUUCAGUGGCGGAAGGGUUAGUAAUACAUGGGUAACCUGCCUUUGACUCCGGGAUAACGGUUGGAAACGACCGCUAAUACCGGAUACGGUGAGAAAAAGACAUCUUUUUCUUAUUAAAGUGGGGGAUCGUAAGACCUCGCGGUUAAAGAGAGGCCCAUGGGAUAUCAGCUAGUUGGUAGAGUAAAGGCCUACCAAGG
rnacentral:rRNA from 1 species